AAAAAAACAACAACUAGAUCUCUAAUAGUCUCUAAACUCUAAAUCUAUAAUAUUAUAAUUUUAAUCUAGACCUAGAUCUGGUCCUGUGAAUUGAUCUUUGAAAAUUUAGAAAUGUUGAAAAUGUAUGAUUAUAGAUCUACUAAUUUAUUAAUUAUGUAAUAGAUCUACAUUAUAAAUAAUAACAUAUAGAUUAUAAAUUUAGCUAGUAAUAUAGUCUCUAGAUCUACCUGGAUCUAGAUUACUUUGAGAUAUAGAAUUAUAGGCCUAUGCUAUGUAAUUCUUUAUUGUAGUUAAGACCUUCUUCACUAGAUCUAGCUAUAUAUAGAUCUAUACUUAUAGUCCUAGUCUAGACUGUCUAGAGCAGUGUUUCCCAAACCUUUUCCUUCAAAACGGAACACUUCGCACACUAUGAGUAUUUAGCGGAAAACUUUUCUUAUUUUUUAAAAAAGAUUUAUUCACAUGGUAGCCUACUAAUUAAUUAUUCCAGUAGUUCAUGGAACACUUAUUCAGGCGUAAGGUUCUACGGAACACAUUUUGAGAAACACUUGUCUAGAGUGAUUCUAGAGAUUAUUUCUGGAAUAAGGCUAGGUCUAGAAUUCAAUAUAGCAUUUACUUAUCACCUAGAAUAGAGUGACAAGAUUUAUAAUGUAAUUAACACAAUUUAAGUCAUGAACAUUGUAGGAUCCAAUAUAAUUCUAAACUGAUAAAUCUAGAUGUCUACUACAUUUUAUCUACAUUAUAGAUUUAGUUUAAAUUAGAAAUCACUUUGGAAACAAGACUCAACUACCCAGGUUCUUCGGCAUUGAUGCAAUCAACUGAAAUUUUAUGGAAAAGAUCAGGGCAGAAGUUUACACAGAGAUAAACAACCUUGUCUGAUGGAAACACCAGGUUGUUUUUGAGAGUUUUAUUAACAGAUCUGAGCCCAGGUAUUGUCGUAAAACAGAACAAUUCGUCGGCCUUACAGGUUUUGAACUACUUGGUUCUCUCCGCAGCCAUGUUUUAUUCUGAAAUUCCUUAAAUAAGCCAACAUGUGAGAUAAAUGGUUGAAGCAAUGAAAAGAGGGAAAGGAUGGACCCCUGAUGGGUAUGACUUUGUGGACAGCACACAUUUUAUUGAUGCAAACUUUGAUGAUAUAAUGAAAAAUCUGAAACCCUCAGCUAUUCCUACAAUAUUUCAGUGUCAUAACGAUGCAGCUUCCUGGCCAGUUAAAAAGAAGGAAAAAUAAAGUCUUAAGGUGAAAGAAGAAAUUGUACAAUUCAAAGAGACUUCUGAUAUAUUAUAAAAAGAAAGUUCAAUGUUUAUGAGAGGAGUUAUAGAAAAGCCAACCUCACCUAAAACAGUUAUGAUGAUUUAUCUUUACAUCUGUUUGAGGAGCCUACAGGAAAUGCAAAUUAUACAGAUGAAAAAAUAUCCUUCACAAUAACAUUGCACUUUUACAGUCCUAAUGCGUAUGAGUUUCUUUCUACCACGUUUAACCUGCCUUCAACCAGAACACUAAAAAGAUUCAUGAUUGCCUUUAUAUGUGGACAAAUAAGCCUAUACAGUAUUUCCAAGAAUGAGAACUUUGCAGGGUAGAGUCAUUUGACUUACAAGCCUCUUAGAGACCACUGGGACAUUGUUCUGGGCCGCCUUUGGUAUGGGGAACUCUCAGGCACCAGCUAUUAAAGAAGAAACAAUUAGCAGUCAGGUUAAUGGUGACUCAGAGAUAAGAGACAGUGUGCUGCUGAAAGUCAUUGAGGUGGUUGGCUACGUUUUGUAUGGAGUUUACAUUCUUGAUGCUGUCGUGGUCCUGAUCAACUUGUUCAUUGCUGUGAUGAAUUUGAAGACAUUUAGAAUGUCCAAAAGAUUAGUCAGCUAAGGAGCCUAAAAUGUUAGCCUGUUUACAAAUAUGAGAUCUUCCUUGACUACACAAGUACCUUACAGAAGAAGGCUACUCACUUGUGUUUGGAUAUGUCAGCUGUUUUGUCCCUGUGGCCCUUUUCAAGCAUGACAGAUACUAUUCUAAGCAGCUUUUUUCUCUGGAAAUUAUUCAACCACAGAGGCUGUGAGGGAUAUCUGAAAUCCAUUGCUUACUUGUCUAGAAAUCCUUCCAUCGAU